CUGUGGAAACCCGUAGAUCCGAACUUGUGCUGCAUUGUAGUCAAGAACACAAGAACGGAUGUACGGGAUUCCGUCGA
rnacentral:pre_miRNA from 1 species